CCUACGGGAGGCAGCAGUGGGGAAUCUUGCGCAAUGGGCGAAAGCCUGACGCAGCCAUGCCGCGUGAAUGAUGAAGGUCUUAGGAUUGUAAAAUUCUUUCACCGGGGACGAUAAUGACGGUACCCGGAGAAGAAGCCCCGGCUAACUUCGUGCCAGCAGCCGCGGUAAUACGAAGGGGGCUAGCGUUGCUCGGAAUUACUGGGCGUAAAGGGAGCGUAGGCGGAUAGUUUAGUCAGAGGUGAAAGCCCAGGGCUCAACCUUGGAAUUGCCUUUGAUACUGGCUAUCUUGAGUUUGGGAGAGGUGAGUGGAACUCCGAGUGUAGAGGUGAAAUUCGUAGAUAUUCGGAAGAACACCAGUGGCGAAGGCGACUCACUGGCCCAAUACUGACGCUGAGGCUCGAAAGCGUGGGGAGCAAACAGGAUUAGAUACCCUGGUAGUCCACGCCGUAAACGAUGAGUGCUAGUUGUCGGCANGCAUGCAUGUCGGUGACGCAGCUACGCAUAAGACACNCCGCCGUCGGGAGGUACGGUCGCGAGAGUAAACGUACGAAAGUUAAGUUAGUAGCGUUGAGAGNGCGAGGACGACGACGAGGGAGAGG
rnacentral:rRNA from 1 species